UUGCCCCCGUUGACUUGAAAUAACUUGUUCUUCAGACGUAACACGUUAUUUUCUUCUUUUUUUUUUGCAAGACUUUGUUUAUAGGAAGACUCUUUCAUUAGUUUUACUAUCAAACAAAAAAAACGAGGAAGAGAGAAGAUGGAUGGAAGAGGAUGUGGUAAUAUUGCGAAAAUGUGUAUUUGCUUGUCAAUAACGUUGCUGCUUUUGUCAUCUCCUGAGAACUCCUUCGUCUCGGCUCUACCAGCUGAGGAGGCGUAUCAAGCAAAAGGAACAGGCGCACCAAGAAAAGAUGGAGCGAGAAGAAUGAUGAUAGAAAUGACAAGGGCUGGUUGGGUAUCCAGAAGCCGUUCAGAUCGUGGUCGUGGUCCAUGAACUACCGAUUGCAUCAUUUACAAUUAUGCUGAAUGUUUUAUCUCCUACAACUUGUUUUUCUACCUUUGAUCUUUGACCAUCUAUUGUCCGAUUAAUAACUUAGCAAUAAAAUCGCUCUUUGUGAUUUUUUUCUUAAUAAAGUUUUUAAAAAAUCA